rnacentral:rRNA from 1 species
AACGAACGCUGGCGGCAUGCCUAACACAUGCAAGUCGAACGAGACCUUCGGGUUUAGUGGCGCACGGGUGCGUAACGCGUUGGAACCUGCCUUUAGGUUCGGAAUAACUCAGAGAAAUUUGAGCUAAUACCGGAUGUUGUCUUCGGACCAAAGAUUUGUCGCCUUUAGAUGGGCCCGCGUUGGAUUAGCUAGUUGGUGGGGUAAAGGCCUACCAAGGCGACGAUCCAUAGCUGGUCUGAGAGGAUGAUCAGCCACACUGGGACUGAGACACGGCCCAGACUCCUACGGGAGGCAGCAGUGGGGAAUAUUGGACAAUGGGCGAAAGCCUGAUCCAGCAAUGACGCGUGAGUGAUGAAGGCCUUAGGGUUGUAAAGCUCUUUUACCCGAGAUGAUAAUGACAGUAUCGGGAGAAUAAGCUCCGGCUAACUCCGUG